rnacentral:SRP_RNA from 13 species
GGCUGGCAUGGUGGUGGUUUGGAAUGUGUUGCUCGCCCCUUUCACGCUCGGAGAAGUCUUGACGCCAUCCCGAAAGCGAGGGGCAUUGCUCAUCGUGAUGGGCACCGCAUG